GUGAAACCAUUCAUAAUGUGGUUAGACUUGGUCAGAAGAUUAGGUAUACCUAAUCUUUUGACCAAGUCUAACCACAUUACAUGCUUUAAACUGCUAUUGUAAAACAAACUUUUUGCAAAAACUCUAAAAACACAGCUCUCUACAUUAUACGCAUCAUUCUCAUUUGGAAAAACACUGCCAUUUAAAUGCCACACUCAUUAAAUGAUGACCUUCAGCCAGUGAUCAUUUGUGAAAACACACAGAAUUCGUUCACUUAGAAAUCAAAACUCAGUUUUGAGAAAGAUUUUUUUACCCCCUUGCAUUUCUGUUUACAUUGUAUAUAUAUAUAUGUAUAUCUAUAUACUGUGUGUGUGUGUGUGUGUGUGUGUGUGUGUGCGCACGCGCGGUUUGCCCUCAUUCUUCUCUUCUUUCUUUAUUAGUUCAGUCUCUACAGCACGUCUGCAUGAUCUUGAGCAGUUUAAGCUCCUUCACAGCUCUGUUAUGGCGAAUGUUCAAACCAGGAUUCUUCAUCUGGAUCUCUCUAUCAUCAUUAUUUUCCUGAUUCAUGCAGAUUAUUCAAAAUCUAAUCAAGAGAAAAGGAUUCAGCAGCACAUCAACAAAACAGUGUUUGUGGGGGAAACAGUUACACUUCACUGCAACAAAACCCAACUUGAUGAUGAUUUCACAUGGAAAAUGAACAGCUUCGUUAUUUUUAGGCAGGACUCUGAAAGAAACAGAACAAUGACAAACUUCAGCUCAAACAGGAUUCACAUCGACCCCGCAGCUCCAAGAGAAUUAACAAUACAUCAAAUACAAGCGUCUGAUGCAGGAAACUACAGCUGUUACCCAGCAGCAAUAAGAUGGACAUUAACAAUAACAGAAAACACAACCAGACCAGAAUCACUCAAACAAAUGCCGCUGUACAUCAUCUUCUCAUGUUCUGGAGUCAUUAUGAUCUGUCUGAUCAUAACCAUCUGCGUUCACAGUAAACUGAAGCAGAUGAAGACAAACUCUGAUCUCUGUGAAAAAGACCAGGAGGCAGAAAGUUUAUUUACCACAGAACAGGUGAAGAAGAUCUCUGACUGUGACAAACACACACUAACAGCCUGUGUAAGUCAGUUGAACUCCACACACACCUCCAUCAUGUUUACCACAUCAUGUCUGUCCCUGGCCCCCAACAAACAUCACUGACUCACUUCUUGAUGGAAACAUGUUGUGCAAUCAAACUAUUGCUCUGUAAAAAUCACUUUUGUUCCAUCCAAUUGAGACGGUGUCAUUUUAACAGCUAUAAAUAUAUAUUAUAUUUAUAAACAGCACAGCAGAUAUUUGAACAAGAGCUGAAAUGUCUGUUGUUUUUGUUUCAUUGUUUUAUCUUUGUCUUCUUCAGUAUAUAUUAUAUUAUAACAGCACAGCAGAUAUUUGUAACAAGAGCUGAAAUGUCUGUGUUUUGUUUCAUGUUUUAUCUUUGUCUCUUCAGGUCUACAGUCUUCGUACAGUUUCAUGAACAUCUUUCUUCUCAAGACAGCAGUGUGUGUGUCUGACACUUAACAGGUCAUCAUCUCAAUACAGGAAGAUGUCUGUUGGUCAUUUUCAUGCUGAGAAUGAUGUCUGAGGCUGAGAAUAUUUUCAUGGUAGUGAAUGGGACCAUCACAAUAAGUAUAAGUUCAGUAUUAGAGGAUCUAUAUGUGAAUAUGUUUUUGCCCCAACAAUUCUCUUUGCUUAUUUGAUACAAAAUAUCUAGCGAAUGAAUUUAAUUUUCAUACAGAAGAAUAUGAGUUUUAACCUUUGAUAUUGUCAGCCCUGUGUUCCUGUGUCUUGUGUUUUGCUCCCCAUGUUCUCCCUGUGACCCAGUUUCUCCCGUGUUUGAUUGUGUCCAUUUGGUUCAGGUGUGUCAGUAAUUACCUCGUUGAGUUACUGUUACUUAAGCCCUGUGUUUUCCUGUGUCCUGCGUUCUGUGUUAUAUGUCAACCGCAUGUCCUACAUGUGUGUUACCCUGUUUUUAUUCAUUAAAGACACCUUGAAGAUUCUCCCACAUCUCCGCGUCUUCUUGCUCCACACUACUUCACAGUAGGCAUAUCGUAACA
rnacentral:lncRNA from 1 species